rnacentral:misc_RNA from 1 species
GAUGAAGAACGCAGCGAAAUGCGAUAAGUAGUGUGAAUUGCAGAAUUCAGUGAAUCAUCGAAUCUUUGAACGCACAUUGCGCCCUCUGGUAUUCCGGAGGGCAUGCCUGUCCGAGCGUCAUUGCUGCCCUCAAGCACGGCUUGUGUGUUGGGCCCCGCCCCCCGAUCCCGGGGGGCGGGCCCGAAAGGCAGCGGCGGCACCGCGUCCGGUCCUCGAGCGUAUGGGGCUUUGUCACCCGCUCUGUAGGCCCGGCCGGCGCCUGCCGAUCAACCAAACUUUUUUCCAGGUUGACCUCGGAUCAGGUAGGGAUACCCGCUGAACUUAAGCAUAUCAAUAAGCGGAGGA